UAUAUAGUUUAUUAAAACAUUACAUUUUCACUGUACAAAUAGAUAACUUAUAUCUUAUA
rnacentral:tRNA from 1 species